rnacentral:rRNA from 1 species
AGAGCGAACGCUGGCGGCAGGCCUAACACAUGCAAGUCGAGCGCCCCGCAAGGGGAGCGGCAGACGUGAGAGUAACACGUGGGAACGUACCCUUUGGUUCGGAACAACACAGGGAAACUUGUGCUAAUACCGGAUAAGCCCUUACGGGGAAAGAUUUAUUGCCAAAGGAUCGGCCCGCGUCUGAUUAGCUUGUUGGUGAGGUAACGGCUCACCAAGGCUACGAUCAGUAGCUGGUCUGAGAGGAUGAUCAGCCUCACUGGGACUGAGACACGGCCCAGACUCCUACGGGAGGCAGCAGUGGGGAAUAUUGGACAAUGGGCGCAAGCCUGAUCCAGCCAUGCCGCGUGGAUGAUGAAGGCCCUAGGGUUGUAAAGUCCUUUCGACGGGGAAGAUAAUGACGGUACCCGUAGAAGAAGCCCGGCUAACUCGUGCCAGCAGCCGC